AAGAGUAAGGGGCUAAACACCCCGACCUCCAACCCUCUGUUGUUAAAACUACCCUUGUUGCUUUGGCGGGACCGCUCGGUUCCGAGCCGCCAGGCCCCUUCACCGGGGUCGCGGCGAGUUCCCGCCAGAGUUAAACCAAACUCUUGUUAAUAAACCGGUCGUCUGAGUAAAAUUUUGAAUUAAAUCA
rnacentral:misc_RNA from 1 species